UACUAGAGUAGCACUCGCAUUAUCAAUAAGCGGAGGAAAAGAAACUAACAAGGAUUCCCCUAGUAACGGCGAGUGAAGCGGGAAGAGCUCAAAUUUGAAAUCUUAAAGGGUUUCCCUUUACGAAUUGUAGUUUAAAGAAGUGUUUUCUGUUGAGGUUUUGGUAAAAGUUCUUUGGAAUAGGACAUCAUAGAGGGUGAGAAUCCCGUAUUUGACCUUUACUUUCAACUUUGUGAUACACUUUCAAAGAGUCGGAUUGUUUGGGAAUGCAGUCCAAAAUGGGUGGUAAAUUUCAUCUAAAGCUAAAUAUUGGCGAGAGACCGAUAGCGAACAAGUACCGUGAGGGAAAGAUGAAAAGAACUUUGAAAAGAGAGUUAAACAGUACGUGAAAUUGUCAAAAGGGAAGCGUUUGACACCAGUGUUGUUUUUCUGAAAAUCAAUUAGAGAACUGUUUAUGCUAAGCUGUUUAGACUUUAUCAGCUAUCUGUUUAGUUUUGAGCUUUUCUUUAAUGCACUUUUCAGUUAACAAGUCAACAGUCAAUUUCUUUUGCUGUAAAAAAGCUUGAGGAAGGUGGCUUGAGAUUCGUCUUAAGUGUUUAUAGCCUCUUGCCUAUGCAGUCGGAGAGAUUGAGGUCUGCAGCGUAGAUCCUUCGGGGCUAAAUGCAUUUGUGCUAAGUUAUAGCAUUUUAUAGACAACUUGUUGACUAUGAUUUGUCUUGUAGCUUACUCGCUUAUGUUAUUUUACCUACGCUUAGGAUGUUGAUCUACAGAGCGAGAGU
rnacentral:rRNA from 1 species